rnacentral:rRNA from 1 species
GACGAACGCUGGCGGCGUGCUUAACACAUGCAAGUCGAACGAAGUGGCGAACGGGUGAGUAAUACGUGAGUAACCUGCCCUCCUUUUUGGGAUAAGCCUUGGAAACGGGGUCUAAUACCGAUUAAAGGGGGAUGGGCUCGCGGCCUAUCAGCUUGUUGGUGGGGUGAUGGCCUACCAAGGCGGUGGCGGGUAGCCGGCCUGGGAGGGUGACACGGGACAUGAGAAAUGGGAUACGGCCCAGACGGAGACGGGAGGGGGGAGUGGGGGAUAUUGGACAAAGGGCGAAAGCAUGAGGGAGCGACGUAGGGAGGAGGAUGAAGGGUUUCGGAGUGUAAACAGCGGUCGCGAACGAACGGGUAGGUGGAGAAGAAGCGCCGGCUAACUACGUGCCAGCAGCCGCGGUAAUUC